rnacentral:rRNA from 1 species
UUUCUUUGCUGGCGACCGGCGCACGGGUGAGUAACACGUAUCCAACCUGCCUUUACUCGGGGAUAGCCUUUCGAAAGAAAGAUUAAUACCCGAUAGUAUAAUGAUUCCGCAUGGUUUCAUUAUUAAAGGAUUCCGGUAAAGGAUGGGGAUGCGUUCCAUUAGGUUGUUGGUGAGGUAACGGCUCACCAAGCCUUCGAUGGAUAGGGGUUCUGAGAGGAAGGUCCCCCACAUUGGAACUGAGACACGGUCCAA